AGCUCAGUCAGUAAAGAAUCUGCCUGCAAUGCAGGAGACCCAGGUUCAAUUCCUGG
rfam:Ovis aries breed Texel chromosome 1, whole genome shotgun sequence.